UCUCCGACCGAAUCACCAUCACCAGUUUUCCUUCUUAUUAAAUAAAUACACACAGUAAUUCACAUUCUCUCUCCCUACUCUUUCUCUCUGGUACCACCACCACCCUCAGCUCCACCUCCACCACUACCUCCACCACUGACCACCAUCACCCCUGCCACAACCACCACUUCCGCCACACCCACCGCCAUCAAGACCACCCCCGCCACAAAAUCAACCAUUGCGAUCUUCUUCAAACCCCCUCUGUUUCUCUCAUCAAAAUCCAAACAAAACCUUAAAUACCAAAUCAUGUUAUCAUAAACCCAGUUGCAAAACACCCAAAAUUUCACACCAAGAAACCUAUGAGAGCUCUAAUUGGAGUUGGAUUUGCCCUAACAUCAUCCCUCUCUUAACAGAUGGGGCUGAAACCAUAGAUUUGCCCUAACAUCAUCCCUCUCUUGGAGAGGUUUUAAGUGCUCCCUUAUGAUAUAUGUUCGUCCUUCUGACCAUUAAUCUUAUCUUGUUUGUUGGUGGCAGCUGGGACUUCUGUGUUAGACUGCAAUAUGUUUGGCCAGAAAGACAAGUUUGUGAGGUUGGAUGAUUUGGAUUCAAGAUUAUCAUCACCCUCUUCUUCAGUUGCUAUAAAUAAAUGUGGAUUCGACGGAUUAACCCGUCCAAGACACGCAACC